rnacentral:rRNA from 1 species
CGAACGGGUGAGUAAUACAUCGGAACGUGCCCCGUAGUGGGGGAUAACUAGUCGAAAGAUUAGCUAAUACCGCAUACGACCUGAGGGUGAAAGUGGGGGACCGCAAGGCCUCAUGCUAUAGGAGCGGCCGAUGUCUGAUUAGCUAGUUGGUGGGGUAAAGGCCCACCAAGGCGACGAUCAGUAGCUGGUCUGAGAGGACGAUCAGCCACACUGGUACUGAGACACGGCCCAG